UGAAAGUUUGACAAGUCAAUUAAAUUCCAUUUUCAAGUUAAUAAUGUAACUUACAUAAUCCGACUUUGAAUUUUAUAUAGUAUUUACAUGUAGACUGCUCAAAUAAAGAACAUGACUGUAUCAAGCUACAGUCCGACUUGCAUUGAUCCGCAUAGAGAAUGAAGAUCUAUACUAUCAGUUGUGAUGAUGCAGCGCCUUCACUGGUAUUCUUAGAUGAUGUUCUCUUUACAUAUUUCCGGGCCCAGACAUGCUUUCCAUUAAUAGAGUAUUUUGAUUUUCCAUGUCCAUCACCAUCUCUAUCGACCACGGCUCUAACCAUAGAGGAUGACCGAGCCACAAUCCGAGCAAACAGUGGUUGGUUAUCUGGGUCAACUUGUUGCAUAUGGAUGGAUUCAAUAAAUUCCCCAAACAUUCUGAUCAAAUCAAAGUUAAAAUGUUAAAUGAAAAGGUAUGUAUCUACUUCUUAUAUAGAUUAAAGAUUAAUUGGGUCAUGUGUAGUAAACUAGUAACGUUAUAAUGCCAAAAUCUAUGAAUGUAGUUUUAAAAUUUCUUGAUUUUGCUGUACAAGAAAGGUUAAAAGCGAACCUUGUUGGCCGUUUGCAUUCUAAUUUCUUAUAUCGGAUACCCUUUUGAAAAUGUGAGGAAGAUUGUCCGAUUUUCUGGAGGUAUCUCCUUUUCUGGAUCACUUGAUGGAGCAUGGAUGUUGACCAAUUGAUUCAAAACUGAAUUUCUGUGUCGAAUCAUAUACAUUUCGACUAGAUCAACAUGACUUGCAUUUUCUCCAAGAGGAUCCAUUUGUGUACGAAAUUCAGCAUAGCCAAAAGGGACAAUUGGGCCGAUGAAUUGUUCCAAAAUGUCGUCAAAUGCCUUGAUGGAAACCUCAUCUGCUAUAGUAGACACUUCAUCAAAAAUCGAAUCUCGAUUAUGAUAUAUCUCUUGCAUAUGUAUCUUCUUUCUAUUAAGAAAACUUUGAAGUAGUGAUAUAUCAUAGCCUCGGCUAGCUUCUUCAAAAGUGAAGUUCUUGUCAGCUAAGAACUUGAGGCAUAUAACGACUUCAUCAGCAACUUUAUCGAUUACAUCUGGGGACAAAGAAAUGAUCAUGAUUUCAACCAGAUUUUUUGUGGUAUACCCAUCUCUUUCUAGCCAUAUGAGAAACCCCAUUACAUAAAUCGAUUGAACGACCUCUCGAUGAAGAACCAAAAGCAAAAGACUGAAUAAGGAUCGCUCGUUUUUGUAGAAGAGAAGGUAAUCUUCUUUGGAGAUCGGCGAAAGUGAAGAAACCGUCACAGGGAAAAGUGAAGGUUGUUUUGGUGAUCCGAAGAUAUCAAGCAUUGUUGCAAAUACUUUGUAUUGAUCUAUGUGUAUAUAUAUAGGUUUGAAAGGUUUAGUGGUGUGACUUUGCAAUGUGUGGAAUGUUUUGAGAUGAUGCUUACUUCAAUAUAUAGGAAACUAACAAUGUGCAUUAGCUAGUUUGGUAGAGAUUUUUGCUCCUGCAAGUUCAGGGAUCAAUUCUUGACACAGAUGUAUUUAGGAUUAUUUGGGAGUGAUGUAGGUGUUAUAA